rnacentral:rRNA from 1 species
AUUGAACGCUGGCGGCAUGCUUUACACAUGCAAGUCGAACGGUAACAGGGAAAAGCUUGCUUUUCUGCUGACGAGUGGCGAACGGGUGAGUAAUACAUCGGAACGUGCCCUGUAGUGGGGGAUAACUACUCGAAAGAGUGGCUAAUACCGCAUACAACCUGAGGGUAAAAGUGGGGGACCGCAAGGCCUCACGCUAUAGGAGCGGCCGAUGGAAGAUUAGGUAGUUGGUAGGGUAAAGGCCUACCAAGCCGACGAUCUUUAGCGGGUCUGAGAGGACGAUCCGCCACACUGGGACUGAGACACGGCCCAGACUCCUACGGGAGGCAGCAGUGGGGAAUUUUGGACAAUGGGGGCAACCCUGAUCCAGCAAUGCCGCGUGAGUGAAGAAGGCCUUCGGGUUGUAAAGCUCUUUUGUUUGGGUAAGAAAUCCCUAAGGAUAAUACCUUGGGGAUGACGGUACCAAAAGAAUAAGCACCGGCUAACUACGUAGCCAGCAGCCGCGGUAAAACGUAGACGUG